rnacentral:rRNA from 1 species
AACUGCCAUUGAAACUGCCGGUCUUGAAUUCGGUUGAGGCAGAUGGAAUAUAACAUGUAGCGGUGAAAUGCUUAGAUAUGUUAUAGAACACCGAUUGCGAAGGCAGUCUGCUAAGUCGACAUUGACGCUGAGGCACGAAAGCGUGGGGAGCGAACAGGAUUAGAUACCCUGGUAGUCCACGCCCUAAACGUUGAUUACUCGCUGUUGGCGAUACACUGUCAGCGGCUAAGCGAAAGCGUUAAGUAAUCCACCUGGGAAGUACGACCGCAAGGUUGAAACUCAAAGGAAUUGACGGGGGCCCGCACAAGCGGAGGAGCAUGUGGUUUAAUUCGAUGAUACGCGAGGAACCUUACCUGGGCUUAAAUGUCAGAUGUUAUCUUGUGAAAGCAGGAGUCUCUUCGGAGCAUUUGGCAAGGUGCUGCAUGGCUGUCGUCAGCUCGUGCCGUGAGGUGUUGGGUUGAGUCCCGCAACGAGCGCAACCCCUAUCAUUAGUUGCCAUCAGGUAAAGCUGGGGACUCUAAUGAAACUGCCUACGUAAGUAGAGAGGAAGGCGGGGACGACGUCAAGUCAUCAUGGCCCUUACGCCCAGGGCUACACACGUGCUACAAUGGUAAGUACAAUGAGAUGCCACUUGGUAACAAGGCGCAAACCUCAAAAAGCUUAUCUCAGUUCGGAUUGAGGUCUGCAACUCGACCUCAUGAAGCUGGAUUCGCUAGUAAUCGGAUAUCAGCAAUGAUCCGGUGAAUACGUUCCCGGGCCUUGUACACACCGCCCGUCAAGCCAUGGAAGCCGGGAGAACCUGAAGUCGAUAACCGCAAGGAGUCGCCCAGGGUUAUACUAGUAACUGGGGGAAGUCGUAACAAGGUAACC